rnacentral:misc_RNA from 1 species
UUUCCGUAGGUGAACCUGCGGAAGGAUCAUUAAUGAGUUGUCAUGGGGUUCGAUGCUGGCAGCCAGUUUUUGGAUGCAUGUGCUUGCCCUAACAAUCAUCUUCUUCCAAACACCUGUGCACAUUUUUGAGGGAGUCUUGAGUUGGUUGCCGCUCUUGGGUGAUUUUCUCACAUUCCCUUAAAUCAUUAUACGCUAUUAACAAUGUUGAACGUGCUCUGUGCCGCAAGGCCAUUAAUAUAAUACAACUUUUAACAACGGAUCUCUUGGCUCUCGCAUCGAUGAAGAACGCAGU